rnacentral:rRNA from 1 species
UACGAAGGGGGCGAGCGUUGUCCGGAAUUAUUGGGCGUAAAGGGCGCGUAGGCGGUUUGUCGCGUCGGGUGUGAAAACCUUGGGCUUAACUCAGGGCUUGCUUUCGAUACGGGCAGACUAGAGGUAUGCAGGGGAGAACGGAAUUCCUGGUGUAGCGGUGAAAUGCGCAGAUAUCAGGAGGAACACCGGUGGCGAAGGCGGUUCUCUGGGCAUGAUCUGACGCUGAGGAGCGAAAGUGUGGGGAGCGAACAGG